CUUCGGAUGCAUCGGAACAAUUUCUCUGCAUCGAUACCCACUGCUACAAACAUGGCUGUCUCAGUGCUUCGGCUGACAAUUGUCUGGGGACUGCUUGUCUUAAUCCUGACUUGCCAGGCUGAUGACAAACCAGAGGGCAAGCCAGAUGAGCAGCCACAUGACUCAGGCAAAAAUUCGGAGCCAGCGUUCCCAAAAUUCCUAAACAUUUUGGGCUCGGACAUUAUUGAGAAUGCGGUGGAGUUCAUCCUCCGCUCCAUGACGAGGAGCACAGAAUUUUUGGAACAUGGUGAUAAAAAACAAGGAGAACAUUCAUCAAAGUGACUUUCCCAGGUGAUUUUAACUUAAAAACUUACAAUCAAAAAAUAGUAUACUGAACAUAGCAAAAAAGGACACACCUACAAGGCUCCAGAAUAAGCCAAGGGCAACCAAAUCCUGCUUUUCCAGUUCUGUUUCACAAGUCCUCCAGGACAGAGGGCUCAAAGCAGUUCCCAGUGAGUGCUCAGAAUUCAGGCCCCGGCUUCAACCAAACACAGCUUAUUCUGAACAUCCUGACUUUGCAAUUUUGCUUCUAGAAAUCAAAAUAAAUAUGUCCACCGUGGGUCACAAA